rnacentral:antisense_RNA from 1 species
CUUCACCGAGCCCAGCCACAAGGGCUGUUCGCGGUCCUGGCCGUAGGUGGCGAGCAGCGCCUGGACCUC